rnacentral:rRNA from 1 species
CGCGGCCUAUCAGCUUGUUGGUGGGGUGAUGGCCUACCAAGGCGACGACGGGUAGCCGGCCUGAGAGGGCGACCGGCCACACUGGGACUGAGACACGGCCCAGACUCCUACGGGAGGCAGCAGUGGGGAAUAUUGCACAAUGGGCGGAAGCCUGAUGCAGCGACGCCGCGUGAGGGAUGACGGCCUUCGGGUUGUAAACCUCUUUCACCCAUGACGAAGCGCAAGUGACGGUAGUGGGAGAAGAAGCGCCGGCCAACUACGUGCCAGCAGCCGCGGUAAGACGUAGGGCGCGAGCGUUGUCCGGAUUUAUUGGGCGUAAAGAGCUCGUAGGCGGCUUGUCGCGUCGUCCGUGAAAACCUGCAGCUCAACUGCAGGCUUGCGGGCGAUACGGGCAGGCUAGAGUUCGGUAGGGGAGACUGGAAUUCCUGGUGUGGCGGUGAAAUGCGCAGAUAUCAGGAGGAACACCGGUGGCGAAGGCGGGUCUCUGGGCCGAUACUGACGCUGAGGAGCGAAAGCGUGGGGAGCGAACAGGAUUAGAUACCCUGGUAGUCCACGCUGUAAACGUUGGGCGCUAGGUGUGGGGGGCCUCUCCGGUUCUCUGUGCCGCAGCUAACGCAUUAAGCGCCCCGCCUGGGGAGUACGG